UACGUAGGGGGGCUAGCGUUGUCCGGAAUCAUUGGGCGUAAAGAGCGCGUAGGCGGCUGGAAUAGUCCGGUGUGAAAUCCACAGGCUUAACCUGUGAAUGCCGCUGGAAACUGUCUGGCUAGAGUCCGGAAGGGGCGAGUGGAAUCCCUGGUGUAGCGGUGAAAUGCGCAGAUAUCAGGAGGAACACCAAUGGCGAAGGCAGCUCGCUGGGACGGUACUGACGCUGAUGCGCGAAAGCCAGGGGAGCGAACGGG
rnacentral:rRNA from 1 species